UCAAAAAUGUAAACAGCAAUAUUUUUAGAUUAUAAUGAUUUUAUGGUAAGUUUUUAAACAUGUUAAUGCCCAAAUAAAAUCAAAUAUAGUAUUCUAAAUACUUCUAUUUAAUUAGUUGCUUUGAUGACGCCUGACAUCAAUCUUUAAGAAUUAAUGAUGGGAAUUUCCAGUUAAAUGUGUCCUCAUAUAAUAACACAAUAGAGGAUUUUCAUCUAUAUCAAACAGAAAUCAAGAUUAUCCAAGAUAAGUUUUAAAUCAUUUAUGAUUAACUAAAUCG